AACAUGUCUUCUUUCCACUGUAUACUGGAAUCAAAUAAAACAGUAUCUGUAAAUCAUCUAGGUGGGCAAUCAGACUUGCUCAAUUAAUGUUAAUUCCAUGUCAGUUGAAACAACAACAAUAAAGGAGACCAAACAUGAAGACUGGUAACCACCUGCUCCUGAGGUAUUGGUUUUAACCCAUUUUUUGUUUUGUUUUGUUUUGUUUUUUUAGAACAGGAAGGAAAUAAACAAAUGGAUACCUAGUGGGGAGUAACAGUGCUUCACUGAUGCAUGAGCUCCACAAACCUUCUUUGGGAUGGGGAUGCAAAGGAGAAGAGGACUCUGCUACUGUGUGGAGGACUGCAUUGCCUGCCCAGCCUUCUGAUGCACCAGGGCACUUACUGGAGUUCACGCGCAUGAUUAUGAACUUACAAGGAGCAAGACAUUUUAAAACGGCAGAAUCCAGCUUCCCAGCCAAGGAAGGGACGUAUGGCAUCUCCCUGAGUGCCGGGACUGCACUGUCCGAGGCUUAAUUUUUUCUCAAUCCAAUUGUUUCUGUUACUUCCUGCCUCCAUUUCAGCUUCUCCUUGAAGCUCCCAGAAACUGUGGAAAUAGAGGUCCUGAAUGUAAGAUACUUCGAUCACUUCUCCUUCCUGUGAAUCUCUACACAGUGGACAAUACCCAGAGGUGUGAUUGUCUCCAUUUUAAGGAUAAACCUAGAGCUCAGAGAGGCUAACUUAUUGCUCAUGAUCACAUAGCAAGUGAGAGCAGAACUGGAGUAGAGCCCAUGGCUCUCCUCCUUCCAGCCUAAGCUUCAGCUCCAGGGCAGUAACCUCACUGGACAGCCAUUGUCUGUAUUUGCUGUUUCCUUCACUGGACCAUUAGUUCCCUAGGAGAAGGAAUCCUGGUCUUUAUCUUUGCAUUCCCAGGCUUGGCUCAGUGUCCAGAAACAUGGGAGAUACUCAGUGGAUGCUUUUUCAAAGGAUGAAGAGUGGAUAUGAAGCCAGAAGCUCUACCGAGUGUUUUUUUUAUUUGUUUUGUUUUGUUGUUGUUUUUUUUUUACAUACAUAAUCCUUGAUUUUCUAAACACCCCGAGAGGCAGCUGUUGUCCUCAUUUCCUAGCUGGGACCAUUAAGGCUCAGAGAAGUUAAGUGACUUGCCUAGAUUCACAGAGCUCGCAGGUGGCUGAGAUGAAACUCAGACCCAUGUAGUCUGCCUGUAGAACCCACACUGCCUCUCGGCACAGAUGGGAUGAACAGUCUGGAUAGGCAGGACAGUGGGCAGAGGGACUGUGGGGCCUCCCUUCCUGCUGAGUUUGGAGUGGUCUCUGUCCAAGGGAAGCUGCAGUGGGUGACUGAGCUUCCUAAGCAGGAAGCAGUUCUCAGCCCCUCUGCCCUCCUUUCAGUCACAAACUUACAAGCACACAUUUGUUGAAUGACUGAAUGACCAGCCCUGCUGAUGACUCUGCAGUUUAUUUACCCCUAGAACUGGACUUUCGCCUGCUCAUUCUUCAUCAACUUUGGGGACUGUUCUUUUCUGCCUAACCUCAGAUUGUGGGAUUCCUUGAAAUGCUCCCUGAACUCUCUUCUCAUUGCUACACCUUUUCUGGAGGGCCACAUUUCUAGGGAUGGCUUCAAUUACCCUUUAUGUGCAGGUAGCUCUCCCACAUGUCCAGCUCAGACCUCCCUGCUGAAUUCCUACCUUCAUAGUUUUCUACCUGAAUAUCCAGGAGUUAGCUCAUCUCUAUACUUCAAAAGCAUUUACAUCAUUUCCUUCCCAUCUCAGACAGAAGGACUGGAGCCAUCAGUCGCCUGGCUGCCCAAGCCACAGACUCAGGCUCGUCCUUGACAGUACCCACCCCCAACACUUUCCCACAUCUAAUUUCUCCUUGAAUAAUCUCCAAGAUCUGGUGCCAGCCUUGUUUAUCCUCUGGAUUCCUCAGUAACUUCCCAGAUGAUUCCAUGAGCUCCAGUCUCCUCCUGUACAUCCACUCCAUCCAGUCUCCAUAGAGGAAUAGGAAAAAUCUUCUAAGUCACAUAUCAUUGUGACAUCCUAGAACCCUAGGAUUGAGUCUCCACUGCCACCUUCUUUCAUCUCAGCAUUCUGCCUCCUGCCAGCCACCAAGCAUUCACCACUACCGAAGGGAUCAUGAGGCCUCUGGACAUGCCAUUCCCUGGGCUGGGAUUCUCUUCCUUUACUUCUGCACCUGCCAAGCCGUCAUUAAGCCUUCAAGACCCAGCCUUGACUCUCUCCCUUCCUAAAAGUCAUUCCUGAUCUUAAAGGCUGAGCAAGGGCUUCCUCUUUGGGCAUCCCCCCACCACCCCUGCCUCCCUCUUUGAUAAUAGCCUCCAUGUCUGGGCUGUGGGGUCUGCCCAGGAUGGGGACAACGUGUGAUGUAUUGAUGGCCCCGGUGCUUAACACAGGGAGGAUCCAUGAAUGUCCAUCAAUCAAAUCUGAACCCUGGACCAUUGGAAGAAAAACAUAGCCUCUUCCCUUUGCCUCUUGGCUUUAACCAGCUGUGUUAUGAUCCUGUCACCUCCCACCCCUGUACCCAGUUGUCUCAUUUGCCUUGUUCUGACAUAGGAACCCCUGCCUUGGCACAUCCCUCCUGCCCCAGUUCAUGGUGAUCACCUCUUCCCUGAGGCCCUCCAGGACUAUACCAGCACCCAAGGUCCCCCAGGGUCCCAUUUCAAGGCCCUGGGAUAAUUCUCCAUGAACAGUUCUUCCCUCAGCCACACUGGGGGCCUCAAAUUCAUUUCUUAGGACAUAAGAAAUUUCACUGAAAGGUUAAAAAUAAAUAUUAGAUAUGAAAUUCCUUGGAGAGAAAGAACAUUUAGGCUAAGUUCACACUAAGGUGUAAAUGGCCAGCAUAGCAUAUUGACCUGGGCAUAGUUGUGGACAGGUGGGAGAGAGUCAGGGGCUCCGGCUGUGUACAAAGGGACAAGAACCAUGGGAUAGGGAAGGGACACUGUCAGGCUGCCUGGCCUCCACCAUACACGUCUUACCUGCAUCACUUACCAGUGUGUGUGUGGGUCCAUCCUCUAGAACAACAAGAGAAGCUGAACAGUUGGCUUCUUGGUCCCAUAAUGUCAGCAAGGAGCUAGACACACAGUGGGUGCCCAAUAAAUGCCCAUGGCUGUCUUGUCAGCCCAGAGCUUAGCUGACUGCCUGCCCCUGCUAGGGGCAUUGCCAUGAGCCACCUCCUGUGGGAGAUGGAGAGUGUUUGCAGCAGGACAGGGUGGGGGUGGGGGGAAUCCUUCCUGGUUUCUCUUGAGGCUCUGACGAGCUUCUUUCCCAUGACCUCCCUGCCCUUCCGGCAGGCACACUAAUAGUCUAUAGGAGGAAGUCCCUAGGCAGCAAGGGAACAGAAGUUUGAAAGUCAGAGCCUCACUGGGAACUGUGAUUUGCUAGAUGGUCUGAGGCAUCUUCUCCUCGGCCUCCAGCAUCCCUGGUGCCUUAUACUCAUGAAACAAAUGUUUAUGUAUAUGCCGAGCACCUACCUAGGUGCUGGGAUUCAGCAGUAAACAGACCAAAAUCUCUACCUAUACUGAGCUUAUAGUCUAGUCAUUUUGGAUGGGGUGGGGGAGGCAGAAAUAAAGAACAAAAAGGUCAAAUAUAAUAAUGUAUUAGAUAGUCAUAAGCAUUAAGAAAAAAAAAAUAAAGCCAGGAAAGGAGGUAGGAAAUAUCUCGUGGGAUGGAAGGCAAAUAGGAAUUUUAGACAGGGGCUGGGGGUCGAGGGGCCUCAGAGAGAAGGUAAUUUUAAAAAUUUUUUUGGUUUUGUUGAGGUAAAGUAUACCCACUAUGAAAUUUUAGCCAUUUUAACUGUACAGCUCAGUGGCGUUCAGUACAUUCAUAUUAUUGUACAACCACCACCACCAUCUCUAGAACCUUUUCCUCACCCCAUAUUGAAACUCUGGACCCAUUAAACAUUAACU
rnacentral:lncRNA from 1 species